AGUGAACGCUGGCGGUAGGCCUAACACAUGCAAGUCGAACGGCAGCACAGUAAGAGCUUGCUCUUACGGGUGGCGAGUGGCGGACGGGUGAGGCAUACAUCGGAAUCUACUUUUUCGUGGGGGAUAACGUAGGGAAACUUACGCUAAUACCGCAUACGACCUACGGGUGAAAGCAGGGGAUAUUCGGACCUUGCGCGAUUGAAUGAGCCGAUGUCGGAUUAGCUAGUUGGCGGGGUAAAGGCCCACCAAGGCGACGAUCCGUAGCUGGUCUGAGAGGAUGAUCAGCCACACUGGAACUGAGACACGGUCCAGACUCCUACGGGAGGCAGCAGUGGGGAAUAUUGGACAAUGGGCGCAAGCCUGAUCCAGCCAUACCGCGUGGGUGAAGAAGGCCUUCGGGUUGUAAAGCCCUUUUGUUGGGAAAGAAAAGCAGCAGGUUAAUACCCCGCUGUUCUGACGGUACCCAAAGAAUAAGCACCGGCUAACUUCGUG
rnacentral:rRNA from 1 species